UACGAGAGGUCCAAACGUUAUUCGGAAUCACUGGGCUUACAGAGUUCGUAGGCGGUUCUACAAGUGGGGUGUGAAAGCCCUCGGCUCAACCGAGGAACUGCGCUCCAAACUGUAGAACUAGAGGAAGAUAGAGGUGAGCGGAACUGAUGGUGGAGCGGUGAAAUGCGCUGAUAUCAUCAGGAACACCGGAGGCGAAGGCGGCUCACUGGGUCUUUUCUGACGCUGAGGAACGAAAGCUAGGGGAGCAAACGGG
rnacentral:rRNA from 1 species